rnacentral:rRNA from 1 species
GUGCCAGCAGCCGCGGUAAUACGUAGGGUGCAAGCGUUAAUCGGAAUUACUGGGCGUAAAGCGUGCGCAGGCGGUUCGCUAAGACAGAUGUGAAAUCCCCGGGCUUAACCUGGGAACUGCAUUUGUGACUGGCGGGCUAGAGUAUGGCAGAGGGGGGUAGAAUUCCACGUGUAGCAGUGAAAUGCGUAGAGAUGUGGAGGAAUACCGAUGGCGAAGGCAGCCCCCCUGGGCCAAUACUGACGCUCAUGCACGAAAGCGUGGGGAGCAAACAGGAUUAGAUACCCUGGUAGUCC